AGGUGAUACAUGUAAGAGUAGGUGAUACAUGUAAGAGUAGGUGAUACAUGUAAGAGUAGGUGAUACAUGUAAGAGUAGGUGAUACAUGUAAGAGUAGGUGAUACGUGUAAGAGUAGGUGAUACAUGUAAGAGUAGGUGAUACAUGUAAGAGUAGGUGAUACAUGUAAGAGUAGGUGAUACAUGUAAGAGUAGGUGAUACAUGUAAGAGUAGGUGAUACAUGUAAGAGUAGGUGAUACAUGUAAGAGUAGGUGAUACAUGUAAGAGUAGGUGAUACAUGUAAGAGUAGGUGAUACAUGUAAGAGUAGGUGAUA